rnacentral:rRNA from 1 species
GUAGUCCUGGCUGUAAACGAUGUCGACUUGGAGGUUGUGCCCUUGAGGCGUGGCUUCCGGAGCUAACGCGUUAAGUCGACCGCCUGGGGAGUACGGCCGCAAGGUUAAAACUCAAAUGAAUUGACGGGGGCCCGCACAAGCGGUGGAGCAUGUGGUUUAAUUCGAUGCAACGCGAAGAACCUUACCUGGUCUUGACAUCCACGGAAGUUUUCAGAGAUGAGAAUGUGCCUUCGGGAACCGUGAGACAGGUGCUGCAUGGCUGUCGUCAGCUCGUGUUGUGAAAUGUUGGGUUAAGUCCCGCAACGAGCGCAACCCUUAUCCUUUGUUGCCAGCGGUCCGGCCGGGAACUCAAAGGAGACUGCCGGUGAUAAACUGGAGGAAGGUGGGGAUGACGUCAAGUCAUCAUGGCCCUUACGACCAGGGCUACACACGUGCUACAAUGGCGCAUACAAAGAGAAGCGACCUCGCGAGAGCAAGCGGACCUCAUAAAGUGCGUCGUAGUCCGGAUUGGAGUCUGCAACUCGACUCCAUGAAGUCGGAAUCGCUAGUAAUCGUGGAUCAGAAUGCCACGGUGAAUACGUUCCCGGGCCUUGUACACACCGCCCGUCACACCAUGGGAGUGGGUUGCAAAAGAAGUAGGUAGCUUAACCUUCGGGAGGGCGCUUACCACUUUGUGAUUCAUGACUGGGGUGAAGUCGUAACAAGGUAACCGUAGGGGAACCUGCGGCUGGAUCACCUCC